rnacentral:rRNA from 1 species
GACGAACGCUGGCGGCGUGCCUAAUACAUGCAAGUCGAACGCUCAUUUCUCAUCGAACUUCGGUUCACCGAGAAAUGGGAGUGGCGAACGGGUGAGUAACACGUGGGUAACCUACCCAUCAGCGGGGGAUAACACUUGGAAACAGGUGCUAAUACCGCAUAAUUCUUUUCUUCGCCUGGAGGAAAGAUGAAAGACGCUUUUGCGUCACUGAUGGAUGGACCCGCGCUGCAUUAGCUAGUUGGUGGGGUAACGGCUCACCAAGGCCACGAUGCAUAGCCGACCUGAGAGGGUGAUCGGCCACACUGGGACUGAGACACGGCCCAGACUCCUACGGGAGGCAGCAGUAGGGAAUCUUCGGCAAUGGACGAAAGUCUGACCGAGCAACGCCGCGUGAGUGAAGAAGGUUUUCGGAUCGUAAAACUCUGUUGUUAGAGAAGAAUAAGGAUGAGAGUAGAAUGUUCAUCCCUUGACGGUAUCUAACCAGAAAGCCACGGCUAACUACGUG